AACGAACGCUGGCGGCAGGCUUAACACAUGCAAGUCGAGCGCCCCGCAAGGGGAGCGGCAGACGGGUGAGUAACGCGUGGGGAUCUACCUUUUGCUACGGAAUAACGCAGGGAAACUUGUGCUAAUACCGUAUGUGUCCUUCGGGAGAAAGAUUUAUCGGCAAGAGAUGAGCCCGCGUUGGAUUAGCUAGUUGGUGGGGUAAAGGCCUACCAAGGCGACGAUCCAUAGCUGGUCUGAGAGGAUGAUCAGCCACAUUGGGACUGAGACACGGCCCAAACUCCUACGGGAGGCAGCAGUGGGGAAUAUUGGACAAUGGGCGCAAGCCUGAUCCAGCCAUGCCGCGUGAGUGAUGAAGGCCCUAGGGUUGUAAAGCUCUUUCACCGGAGAAGAUAAUGACGGUAUCCGGAGAAGAAGCCCCGGCUAACUUCGUGCCAGCCGCCGCGGUAA
rnacentral:rRNA from 2 species